rnacentral:rRNA from 1 species
UGUGACGAGUUUGAUCCUGGCUCAGAUUGAACGCUGGCGGCAUGGCUAAAACAUGCAAGUCGAACGAUCCCUUCGGGGAGAGUGGCGAAAGGGCGAGGAAUAGAAUCGAAUGUACCCCAAGGUGGGGGAUAGCCUCUGGAAACGGAGGGUAAUACCCCAUGUGCUCUACGGAGGAAAGGUUUACCGCCUUGGGAGCAGCGAUUCUCCUAUCAGGUAGUUGGUGAGGUAACGGCUCACCAAGCCGAAGACGGGUAGCGGGUGUGAGAGCAUGACCCGCCGCAUCGGGACUGAGACACUGCCCGGACUCCUACGGGAGGCUGCAGUAACGAAUCUUCCGCAAUGGGCGAAAGCCUGACGGAGCAAUGCCGCGUGUGGGAUGAAGCAUCUUCGAUGUGUAAACCACUGUCAGGGUCUAGGAAUACUGACCAGACCCAAAGGAAGGGCCGGCUAAUUCCGUG